rnacentral:rRNA from 1 species
UACCUACGGAGGGCAGCAGUGGGGAAUAUUGGGCAAUGGAGGCAACUCUUACCCAGCAAUGCCGCGUGAAUGAAGAAGGUCUUCGGGUUGUAAAGUUCUUUAAUUGGGGACGAAAAAAAUGACGAUACCCAAGGAAUAAGCCCCGGCUAACUACGUGCCAGCAGCCGCGGUAAUACGUAGGUGGCGAGCGUUGUCCGGAUUUACUGGGCGUAAAGGGAGCGUAGGCGGACUUUUAAGUGAGAUGUGAAAUACUCGGGCUCAACUUGAGUGCUGCAUUUCAAACUGGAAGUCUAGAGUGCAGGAGA